AACGAUGAGUGCUAAGUGUUAGAGGGUUUCCGCCCCUUAGUGCUGCAGCUAACGCAUUAAGCACUCCGCCUGGGGAGUACGGUCGCAAGACUGAAACUCAAAGGAAUUGACGGGGGCCCGCACAAGCGGUGGAGCAUGUGGUUUAAUUUGAAGCAACGCGAAGAACCUUACCAGGUCUUGACAUCCUGUGACACUUCCAGAGAUAGAGGGUUUCCCUUCGGGGACCAGAGUGACAGGUGGUGCAUGGUUGUCGUCAGCUCGUGUCGUGAGAUGUUGGGUUAAGUCCCGCAACGAGCGCAACCCUUGAUUUUAGUUGCCAUCAUUUAGUUGGGCACUCUAAGGUGACUGCCGGUGACAAACCGGAGGAAGGUGGGGAUGACGUCAAAUCAUCAUGCCCCUUAUGACCUGGGCUACACACGUGCUACAAUGGACGGUACAAAGGGUUGCCAACUCGCGAGGGGGAGCUAAUCCCAUAAAACCGUUCUCAGUUCGGAUUGUAGGCUGCAACUCGCCUACAUGAAGUCGGAAUCGCUAGUAAUCGCGAAUCAGAAUGUCGCGGUGAAUACGUUCCCGGGCCUUGUACACACCGCCCGU
rnacentral:rRNA from 1 species